rnacentral:rRNA from 1 species
UACGUAGGGGGCAAGCGUUAUCCGGAUUUACUGGGUGUAAAGGGAGUGUAGACGGCUGUGCAAGUCUGAAGUGAAAGGCAUGGGCUCAACCUGUGGACUGCUUUGGAAACUGUGCAGCUAGAGUGUCGGAGAGGUAAGUGGAAUUCCUAGUGUAGCGGUGAAAUGCGUAGAUAUUAGGAGGAACACCAGUGGCGAAGGCGGCUUACUGGACGAUGACUGACGUUGAGGCUCGAAAGCGUGGGGAGCAAACAGG